AGUGAACGCUGGCGGUAGGCCUAACACAUGCAAGUCGAACGGCAGCACAGUAAGAGCUUGCUCUUACGGGUGGCGAGUGGCGGACGGGUGAGGAAUACAUCGGAAUCUACUUUUUCGUGGGGGAUAACGUAGGGAAACUUACGCUAAUACCGCAUACGACCUACGGGUGAAAGCAGGGGAUCUUCUGACCUUGCGCGGUUGAAUGAGCCGAUGUCGGAUUAGCUAGUUGGCGGGGUAAAGGCCCACCAAGUCGACGAUCCGUAGCUGGUCUGAGAGGAUGAUCAGCCACACUGGAACUGAGACACGGUCCAGACUCCUACGGGAGGCAGCAGUGGGGAAUAUUGGACAAAGGGCGCAAGCCUGAUCCAGCCAUACCGCGUGGGUGAAGGAGGCCUUCGGGUUGUAAAGCCCUUUUGUUGGGAAAGAAAAGCAGCAGGUUAAUACCCCGCUGUUCUGACGGUACCCAAAGAAUAAGCACCGGCUAACUUCGUG
rnacentral:rRNA from 1 species